rnacentral:lncRNA from 10 species
GACUGGGGCCCCGCAACUGGCCUCUCCUGCCCUCUUAAGCGCAGCGCCAUUUUAGCAACGCAGAAGCCCGGCGCCGGGAAGCCUCAGCUCGCCUGAAGGCAGGUCCCCUCUGACGCCUCCGGGAGCCCAGGUUUCCCAGAGUCCUUGGGACGCAGCGACGAGUUGUGCUGCUAUCUUAGCUGUCCUUAUAGGCUGGCCAUUCCAGGUGGUGGUAUUUAGAUAAAACCACUCAAACUCUGCAGUUUGGUCUUGGGGUUUGGAGGAAAGCUUUUAUUUUUCUUCCUGCUCCGGUUCAGAAGGUCUGAAGCUCAUACCUAACCAGGCAUAACACAGAAUCUGCAAAACAAAAACCCCUAAAAAAGCAGACCCAGAGCAGUGUAAACACUUCUGGGUGUGUCCCUGACUGGCUGCCCAAGGUCUCUGUGUCUUCGGAGACAAAGCCAUUCGCUUAGUUGGUCUACUUUAAAAGGCCACUUGAACUCGCUUUCCAUGGCGAUUUGCCUUGUGAGCACUUUCAGGAGAGCCUGGAAGCUGAAAAACGGUAGAAAAAUUUCCGUGCGGGCCGUGGGGGGCUGGCGGCAACUGGGGGGCCGCAGAUCAGAGUGGGCCACUGGCAGCCAACGGCCCCCGGGGCUCAGGCGGGGAGCAGCUCUGUGGUGUGGGAUUGAGGCGUUUUCCAAGAGUGGGUUUUCACGUUUCUAAGAUUUCCCAAGCAGACAGCCCGUGCUGCUCCGAUUUCUCGAACAAAAAAGCAAAACGUGUGGCUGUCUUGGGAGCAAGUCGCAGGACUGCAAGCAGUUGGGGGAGAAAGUCCGCCAUUUUGCCACUUCUCAACCGUCCCUGCAAGGCUGGGGCUCAGUUGCGUAAUGGAAAGUAAAGCCCUGAACUAUCACACUUUAAUCUUCCUUCAAAAGGUGGUAAACUAUACCUACUGUCCCUCAAGAGAACACAAGAAGUGCUUUAAGAGGUAUUUUAAAAGUUCCGGGGGUUUUGUGAGGUGUUUGAUGACCCGUUUAAAAUAUGAUUUCCAUGUUUCUUUUGUCUAAAGUUUGCAGCUCAAAUCUUUCCACACGCUAGUAAUUUAAGUAUUUCUGCAUGUGUAGUUUGCAUUCAAGUUCCAUAAGCUGUUAAGAAAAAUCUAGAAAAGUAAAACUAGAACCUAUUUUUAACCGAAGAACUACUUUUUGCCUCCCUCACAAAGGCGGCGGAAGGUGAUCGAAUUCCGGUGAUGCGAGUUGUUCUCCGUCUAUAAAUACGCCUCGCCCGAGCUGUGCGGUAGGCAUUGAGGCAGCCAGCGCAGGGGCUUCUGCUGAGGGGGCAGGCGGAGCUUGAGGAAACCGCAGAUAAGUUUUUUUCUCUUUGAAAGAUAGAGAUUAAUACAACUACUUAAAAAAUAUAGUCAAUAGGUUACUAAGAUAUUGCUUAGCGUUAAGUUUUUAACGUAAUUUUAAUAGCUUAAGAUUUUAAGAGAAAAUAUGAAGACUUAGAAGAGUAGCAUGAGGAAGGAAAAGAUAAAAGGUUUCUAAAACAUGACGGAGGUUGAGAUGAAGCUUCUUCAUGGAGUAAAAAAUGUAUUUAAAAGAAAAUUGAGAGAAAGGACUACAGAGCCCCGAAUUAAUACCAAUAGAAGGGCAAUGCUUUUAGAUUAAAAUGAAGGUGACUUAAACAGCUUAAAGUUUAGUUUAAAAGUUGUAGGUGAUUAAAAUAAUUUGAAGGCGAUCUUUUAAAAAGAGAUUAAACCGAAGGUGAUUAAAAGACCUUGAAAUCCAUGACGCAGGGAGAAUUGCGUCAUUUAAAGCCUAGUUAACGCAUUUACUAAACGCAGACGAAAAUGGAAAGAUUAAUUGGGAGUGGUAGGAUGAAACAAUUUGGAGAAGAUAGAAGUUUGAAGUGGAAAACUGGAAGACAGAAGUACGGGAAGGCGAAGAAAAGAAUAGAGAAGAUAGGGAAAUUAGAAGAUAAAAACAUACUUUUAGAAGAAAAAAGAUAAAUUUAAACCUGAAAAGUAGGAAGCAGAAGAAAAAAGACAAGCUAGGAAACAAAAAGCUAAGGGCAAAAUGUACAAACUUAGAAGAAAAUUGGAAGAUAGAAACAAGAUAGAAAAUGAAAAUAUUGUCAAGAGUUUCAGAUAGAAAAUGAAAAACAAGCUAAGACAAGUAUUGGAGAAGUAUAGAAGAUAGAAAAAUAUAAAGCCAAAAAUUGGAUAAAAUAGCACUGAAAAAA